rnacentral:ncRNA from 2 species
UAAAGAAUAAAACUUUUAUGUUGUUUCACUUGUGAAAACUAAGAUGGAAUUUGGUGUAAAUCCAAAACGGUCCCGCCGCUGUAAACCAGGAGUGGGCUAUCGAAACCACUGAAAUUUUUUCGGGAAGGGGAUAGUCUGUUAGGAUAGGUAAGUCAGAAUACAUGCAUAAAAGAUUGUGUAAGA